rnacentral:lncRNA from 1 species
GGAAAACGAAGUGAUGAUUUGAAUCAAGUCGUUCAGUUGAGGGAACUGCGUAGAGGGUUGGACGAGAGCCCAAUUGCAGCCAGACCUUCUGUACAGUUUAGAUCUAGAGGCAGAAACGGGGCAAGGCGGUUGCUUUCCGAGUCAGGACACGAUUAUUGUGUGCAGCAAGCGACGUAGGGGCUUCUGAGUUUUUCCUCUGCUCUUUCUAAGGCAAUAUCAAACCUGGCAUGAAGGUCCUGGAGUCUUUUCUAAUUUUGAUAUUCUGCUUUGGCGCUGCCAAUGGCUUGAGAUGCUACAAGUGUGUUAACAGGAUUGGAAACUGCACUGCAGCCCAGGUGGAGGUCUGCAGACCGUUGGAAGAUAUUUGCUUCACUGAGAUCAAAGACUAUUAUGGCUUGAGAUCACACACAGUGAAGCGAGGAUGUGGCACUGCAAAUUAUUGCCGUCGUUAUAAAGAAGGGCUAAAGGGACUCUUACGCCGGACGUUAUAUUGCUGUGCAUCUGAGCUAUGCGAACCUAUUUCAGUUAGUGAGCAUGUCAUUGGAUCUGAAAAUGGACUACGGUGUCAGACGUGCAUUGGGAAUGCUGAUGAGUGUGGCCACAACGCGCCUUCAGAGCCGUGCUAUGAUGCAAAUGACCGAUGUGUGCAGAUUUCCCAACGCUUCUUGCCAGGUACUGUCCAGUGGCUAUUUGUAUGCCUGCU